GGCCGGGGGUGGGCUCCUUCACUGGGGCCUGGGGCUGAGGCCAGUUGUGGCCAAGUAGAGGCCGUUCCAGCUCCCGUUCCCGUCGGCCAAGUAGAGGUCGCUCCGGUUCCCGUUCCUGUCGGCCCUGUAGCGGUCGUUCCCGCUCCCGUUCCUGUCGGCCCUGUAGCGGUCGUUCCCGCUCCCGUUCCUGUCGGCCCUGUAGCGGUCGUUCUCCUCCAGGAGGAGGUCGCGCCAGCUGCAAUCCCUGCCGACCCCCCAGGAGGAGGUCGCGCCAGCUGCAGUUCCUGCGCACCUCCAGGAGGAGGUCGCGCCAGCUGCAGUCCCUGCCGACCCCCAGGAGGAGGUCGCGCCAGCCGGAGUUGCCGCCGCGGUUCCCGCCGACCUCCAGGAGGAGGUCGCGCCAGCUGGAGUUGCUGCCGCGGUUCCCGCCGACCUCCAGGAGGAGGCGGCGCCAGCUGGAGUUGCUGCCGCGGUUCCAGCCGACCUCCAGGAGGAGGUCGCCCCCGUCGUGGUUCCAGCCGACCUCCAGGAGGAGGUCGCCCCCGUCCUAGUUCCCGCCGACAUCCAGGAGAAGGUCGCUCCUGCAUCGGUUCCUGGCGGCUCGGCCCCGGCCGCACCUGCAUCUGUUCCUGGCGGCCCGGCUCCGGCCGCACCUGCAUCUGUUCCUGGCGGCCCGGCUCCGGCUGCACCUGCAUCUGUUCCUGGCGGCCCGGCUCCGGCCGCAUCUGCAUCGGUUCCUGGCGGCUCGGCCCCGGCCGCACCUGCAUCGGUUCCUGGCGGCUCGGCCCCGGCCGCACCUGCAUCGGUUCCUGGCGGUUCUCGUUGCGGUGGUCCAAGGAGGACGCCGCUGGUUCCUGUUUCUCGUCGCGGUGGUCCAAGGAGGACGCCGCUGGUUCCUGUUUCUCAUCGCGGUGGUCCAAGGAGGACGCCGCUGGUUCCUGUUUCUCGUCGCGGUGGUCCAAGGAGGACGCCGCUGGUUCCUGUUUCUCGUCGCGGUGGUCCAAGGAGGACGCCGCUGGUUCCUGUUUCUCGUUGCGGUGGUCCAAGAAGGACGCCGCUGGUUCCUGUUUCUCGUCGCGGUGGUCCAAGGAGGACGCCGCUGGUUCCUGUUUCUCGUCGCGGUGGUCCAGGGAGGAUGCCGCUGGUUCCUGUGUCUCGUCGCGGAGGUCCAAGGAGGACGUCUCUGGUUCCUGCCUCGUCCUUGUCUCGGCUGCCGGACUGGUGGCCUCGCCCUCGGCGCCUCCUGCUGCCUGGAUGGCGCUGCCUCCUGCGGCGCCGUCCGCCUCGACCCCUCAGUCUUCAGGAUCGGCGUCCGCCUGGAGGACAUCGCCGUUCGGGGUGGUCCCCAGGGACGUCGGCCCAGCCCAAGGGCACUAA
rnacentral:lncRNA from 1 species